rnacentral:ribozyme from 13 species
GAAAAAAAAGAAUCAAAGAAUAUCAAAAAAAAAUGAAAAAAUGGUUCUUUUUGUGUUGUGUUUCCUAUGUUUUGUUGUGAAGUUCUCUCCCUUUUCUCUCUC